rnacentral:sRNA from 1 species
CUUGGUCAUUUAGAGGAAGUAAAAGUCGUAACAAGGUUUCCGUAGGUGAACCUGCGGAAGGAUCAUUCACAAACGAGUGUUUUAUGGCACUCUUUAAAAAUCCAUAUCCACCUUGUGUGCAAUGUUUGUUGGGAAAGUCCUUUCUUUCCCUUCAUAAAUAUCAACCUAUAUCUUUAACAACAUUCGUCUGAUAACAUAUUAUGAAUAUACUUAAUUCAAAAUAUAACUUUCAACAACGGAUCUCUUGGCUCUCGCAUCGAUGAAGAACGCAGCGAAAUGCGAUACGUAAUGUGAAUUGCAGAAUUCAGUGAAUCAUCGAAUCUUUGAACGCAUAUUGCGCUCUUUGGUAUUCCGAAGAGCAUGCUUGUUUGAGUAUCAGUAAACACCUCAACCUCUCUUUUUUGAUAAAAAAAAAGGGAGGGUGGACUUGAGCUAUCCCAACGACCUUCACCGGUAGGCGGGCGGCUUGAAAUGCGGGUGCAGCUGGACUUUUAUCUGAGCUAAAAGCAUAUCUAUUUAGUCCUCGUCAAACAGGAUUAUUACUUUUGCUGCAGCUAACAUAAAGGAUAAUUGUCCUCUUUGCUGACUGAUGCAGGAUUUUACGACACUUUAUGUGUUGUUCAACUCGAUCUCAAAUCAAGUAAGACUACCCGCUGAACUUAAGCAUAUCAAUAAGCGGAGGAAAAGAAACUAACAAGGAUUCCCCUAGUAACGGCGAGUGAAGCGGGAUGAGCUCAAAUUUGAAAUCUGGCUGGUUUACUAGUCCGAGUUGUAAUUUAAAGAAGCGUUUUCGGUGGCAGCCUGGGUAUAAAUCCUUUGGAAUAGGGUAUCAUAGAGGGUGAGAAUCCCGUCUUUGACCUAGUGCAUGCUACUAUGUGAUACGUUUUCAAAGAGUCGAGUUGUUUGGGAAU